CACCAGCCCAGAGACUAAAAACAUCACCAGACAGCAGCUGAGACUUGAAGCAGAGCUCCCCCAAACCCCCAUGUGCAGUCGCCAGUCAGCUGAUGCUUCCUCCACCUUUUAAAUAGCAAGACAAUGAACAUGGAGAACCAGCUUAACUUUCAUACUUUAUCAAAUAAAAGACUAUUCACAGA